GUGCCUUGGAGUGGGGAAAAUUCAGAAAAAAUUAGGAACUGUAUACUUGAAUUGGUAGCAAAUUAGCAUCCCAAAUUUUAAGCGCUCAAGCCAACAUUAAGAAAAAAGGAAUUCUGGAGUAUCUAUAAGCUUGUAAAUGUGCUGGAGAGGUCUUUUUUAUUGUUGGAGAAGUUUUGUAGUCGUUGGGGAUGAUUUGCUGAAGAGACUAGCAUUAUUUCUAUCUUUUUUACACUUUACUGAAACAAGGUAUUGA